rnacentral:rRNA from 1 species
CUACGGGUGGCAGCAGUGAGGAAUAUUGGUCAAUGGGCGAAAGCCUGAACCAGCCAUGCCGCGUGAAGGAUGACGGCCCUAUGGGUUGUAAACUUCUUUUGUACGGGAAGAAACCCCUCUACGUGUAGAGGUUUGACGGUACCGUACGAAUAAGCAUCGGCUAACUCCGUGCCAGCAGCCGCGGUAAUACGGAGGAUGCAAGCGUUAUCCGGAUUUAUUGGGUUUAAAGGGUACGUAGGCGGAAACUUAAGUCAGUAGUGAAAUCCCGCAGCUUAACUGUGGAACUGUUAUUGAUAAUGGGUUUCUUGAAUAUUGUUGAGGUAGGCGGAAUAAGUAAUGUAGCGGUGAAAUGCUUAGAUAUUACUUAGAACACCGAUUGCGAAGGCAGCUUACUAAGCAACUAUUGACGCUGAGGUACGAAAGCGUGGGGAGCGAACAGGAUUAGAUACCCCGGUAGUC